rnacentral:rRNA from 1 species
GGGCUGCAGUGGGGAAUUUUGGACAAUGGGGGCAACCCUGAUCCAGCCAUUCCGCGUGAGUGAAGAAGGCCUUCGGGUUGUAAAGCUCUUUCAGCUGGAAAGAAACGGUGAGCUCUAACAUAGCUUGCUAAUGACGGUACCAGCAGAAGAAGCACCGGCUAACUACGUGCCAGCAGCCGCGGUAAUACGUAGGGUGCGAGCGUUAAUCGGAAUUACUGGGCGUAAAGCGUGCGCAGGCGGAUUGUUAAGCAAGAUGUGAAAUCCCCGGGCUUAACCUGGGAAUGGCAUUUUGAACUGGCAGUCUAGAGUGUGUCAGAGGGGGGUGGAAUUCCACGUGUAGCAGUGAAAUGCGUAGAGAUGUGGAGGAACACCGAUGGCGAAGGCAGCCCCCUGGGAUAACACUGACGCUCAUGUACGAAAGCGUGGGUAGCAAACAGGAUUAGAUACCCCUGUAGUC